GAUGAACGCUGGCGGCGUGCCUAACACAUGCAAGUCGAGCGUGAUUUAUGAGGACGAAGCUUCGGUCUAGGAAUCAUAAUGAAAGCGGCGGACGGGUGAGUAACGCGUAGGCAACCUGCCCUUGACACAGGGAUAGCCUCGGGAAACCGGGAUUAAAACCUGAUGACGCCAAACAGUCACAUGGCUGUUUGGCCAAAGAUUUAUCGGUCAAGGAUGGGCCUGCGUCUGAUUAGUUAGUUGGUGGGGUAACGGCCUACCAAGACGACGAUCAGUAGCCGACCUGAGAGGGUGAUCGGCCACAUUGGAACUGAGACACGGUCCAAACUCCUACGGGAGGCAGCAGUGGGGAAUAUUGCACAAUGGGCGAAAGCCUGAUGCAGCAACGCCGCGUGAGCGAUGAAGGCCUUUGGGUCGUAAAGCUCUGUCCUUGGGGAAGAAACAAAUGACGGUACCCAAGGAGGAAGCCCCGGCUAACUACGUGCCAGCAGCCGCAGUAAUAC
rnacentral:rRNA from 1 species